rnacentral:lncRNA from 1 species
GCCCCAACAAAAGAAAAAUGACCUCAGCGUGAUCGCCUACAUAUCGGGUCGCUGUGCCACUGCUACUGCUGGCCUCACAUCCCCUCCCCAGCAUCUCAGAGCAGCACUAAUAGGUGGGUGAUUCUGGGAAAAUGUAUUUGACUCUCAGCUGAUCUGGCAUAGAAUUCACCCAUGGCUUGAACCUGCAGAGGUGAAAAGAAUAAAAAUUCUACCUGUGUUUCUUCACAGUGGAAACCACCACUUUUGAAACAACAAAGUGAAGUUACCUCUCAGAGCUG